rnacentral:rRNA from 1 species
AACGAACGCUGGCGGCAGGCUUAACACAUGCAAGUCGAGCGAAGGCUUCGGCCUUAGCGGCGGACGGGUGAGUAACGCGUGGGAACGUGCCCUUUCCUCCGGAAUAGCCCAGGGAAACUUGGAUUAAUGCCGGAUACGCCCGAGAGGGGAAAGAUUUAUCGGGGAAGGAUCGGCCCGCGUUGGAUUAGGUAGUUGGUGGGGUAAUGGCCUACCAAGCCGACGAUCCAUAGCUGGUUUGAGAGGAUGAUCAGCCACACUGGGACUGAGACACGGCCCAGACUCCUACGGGAGGCAGCAGUGGGGAAUCUUGGACAAUGGGGGAAACCCUGAUCCAGCCAUGCCGCGUGAACGAUGAAGGCCCUAGGGUUGUAAAGUUCUUUCAGCGAGGAAGAUAAUGACGGUACUCGCAGAAGAAGCCCCGGCUAACUCCGUGCCAGCCGCCGCGGUAACAC